CCCCGAUGACUGGGACAACCCGUCGAAAGACGGGCUAAUACCGGAUGUGCCCCUUGGGGGAAAGGAAGCUUCGGCCUCCGCAUCGGGAUGGGCCCGCGGCGCAUUAGCUUGUUGGUGGGGUAAUGGCUUACCAAGGCGACGAUGCGUAGCUGGUCUGAGAGGACGAUCAGCCACACUGGGACUGAGACACGGCCCAGACUCCUACGGGAGGCAGCAGUGGGGAAUCUUGCACAAUGCGCGAAAGCGUGAUGCAGCAACGCCGCGUGCGGGAAGAAGGCCUUAGGGUUGUAAACCGCUUUCAGUUGGGACGAAGCUUCAGUCGUUAAUAGCGGUUUGGAGUGACGGUACCUUCAGAAGAAGCGCCGGCUAACUACGUG
rnacentral:rRNA from 1 species